GCCCAGCAGGGAGGGAGGAAGGUUUGGCUCUGAUAAACAUUUUUGUGACUGGGGGCAGAGAUAAGGUCCCACCGCACGGAGCUCUAGCGAAGCAAUUCAGAAAAUAUAAACAUUUCAUAUUCAAUUCCACUGAUAAUGAAAGAAAUUGAAAUUGUGAACCAAUGAACAUUACUAGGUGACAUUUAUAAUGGAAUAUAUGGCAAAGUCUCGGGAGGCAAAUCAACUCACUGAACUCACUCCCAAAGAGUCCCUACCCAGCAGGCUCUUGAGGGACCAACGGGAGCGCCGGCUGGGAGAAGAGCUACGUGACAAAGAUUUGGAUGGCGGCAAGAGCAGGUCCUGGCCUUGAUCUUCCCUCUUCGAAUCAGGGGCCACAAAGGCAGUGGCCGCGGUAGGAGUACGGAUGGCGGCUGGAACGAGUGGUUCGGGGGCUCGGCGAGCGGGACCAGGACUCUGUGUCGGAUGACGGGGGCAGGAUGCUCAGUGUCGGGAAAGGGACAGGCUGAGGGGAGGACAU